rnacentral:misc_RNA from 1 species
GAGAAUAGGAGAAUUGAAAAAAUGCCACAGAGUGCAGGCUGAUCCAUCCUGGGUUACAUGCCUGUGCCACCUUCUUCAAUACCCUUCACUCAUGCUCAUUUUUAUUGCCUUGGCCUUGGACUCAUGAUAUGAAAAAGGUUGCUUUAAUCAAAACCCACUGGCGUUCAUUUGCCUUUCCAUAGAAAUUGGAAUAGUCGGACAGUGCUUCACGAUGGCAUUGAAUAAUAAAUAACAUACAGCAGCUGCUAAGUAAUUUUUUUGUUUUUCCAUGUAAUUAAGUAUUUCAACUUCACGCUGACAAAUUUCUCCUUGUAACUUUUUGACGAUUUAUAUUGCAGUUGUCGAGUGAUUUAUAUAAUAUUUUCUUGACAAACUUAGUCUGAAAUUUGUGAAGUGCUUAUUUGGCGCACAACUAAAUUAAAAUUUAUCUUUUUCCAUUUGAAAUUCAAUUCUUAAUUUUUAAUCAGCUUGUGAUUGAUAUUUGCCUUCAGGUUCUUGUUGUCAAUGUAUUUGCAUGUAUAUUUCAUCGCGUAUAUUGUAUUUAUGUGGUUAAUUGCUUCUGCCGACUUCUGUCCAAUUU